rnacentral:lncRNA from 1 species
UUCGAGAUGUGCUAGUAACAGAAGGUGGGAGAAAAGGCGAUCCAGAAAACAAAAAGGCUGCUAAAAGUAGGACAACAAACUUAAUUCAGUUAAACACCUGGUUUAGUGACAACAAUAGAGAUUUCAGGGAUUUUUUUUGGAGGUUACUCGUCCAUUAUGUCAUCAAUCUUGUCCCCCUUAGUCCUUUACGCUUGUGAAGUUUGGAGGAAAGUAGCUGCUUUUUCGCCCGCCCGCUCAACUCAAUCCCGUGCCGGCCGUUCACGGGACUGGACACGGUUGGUCACCUCUCCGGUCUCCAUUGUGUGGUGGUGGGCUAAUCGUUGGCCACAGCUCUCCUUCAUUCACCUGCAGUGUGGGCUAAUCGAUCAUGCAUAUAGCAUGCCCAAUCUACACAAGACAAACAGGUUGAUAUUAAUUUAUUGCUGAUCGCUUUGAUAGAUAACAAGUUGACAUGGAGGCGUAGACGCUCAGGCUCAGCGUCGGCGAGCUCAGCAUCCGACAAGGACGCCACCGUCGCCAUCGGAUGGGGUCGGCGCCUCCCGCCCGGAGGCCGGACUACUACACAUACACAUGCACUUGUGUACAACAACUUGCAGUGCAGUGCAGUACUACAGAGGGAAUCCUCGUCCUCCACACGCGGUUUCAUGUUCCACGACGGCCGGCGACGCCACCUGACACCAACCCUCUGAGAUCUGUGGCUGCUUGCCUCUUCC